AUCUUCCAGUUCCUUCUUGUUGUCUACAUCAAUAUGACACCAUUCAAAGCUAGAUAAUAAAGGCAACGGCUUAUCAGAAAUGUCUUCCGGUGUCUUUGCUUCAUCAAUAGGACCCUCUUCC
rnacentral:rRNA from 1 species